AAUCUGCAAACUUAGAAUGGAAGUUGGAAGUAUUAACACAUUGAAAUUAAUUUACAUAAGCAUCAUCUCUUUUCUUCAGUUGAAACUAUAAACAUCACAACUACAAACAAAGGACAAAUGUCGACUACAAAGUUACGUAUACAGAUUGCUUGGGCAGAAGAGGUAUUCUUCAAACCAAUACAAAUAGCAAAAAUUAUAUAAGGGAAAUAAAAAGAGGAACCAUUUUUCACCACUCUCCUCUUGGGAAUAUUCAUACUUAUCAUACACACAGAAGGCACAUCAGUGUUAAGGUUCCAGCUGCAAAAGUAGACUACAAAGUUAGGUAUACAGAAUGCUUGGGCAGAAGAGGUAAUUCUUCAAACCAAUACAAAUAGCAAAAAAAUAUAUAAGGGAAAUAAACAGAGGAACCAUUUUCCA
rnacentral:lncRNA from 1 species